rnacentral:snRNA from 1 species
UUUACUUCUCGGCUGUCUGAGCUACGAUCGUGUGUAGUAUCUGUUCUUUGCAGUCUUAUUUCUGCAACGGUCUCUAACUUGAGACCAACGAAAUUAUUUGUACCGUUCCCUACCGGACGGCUGCCAUGAGCUUGUUCAACCCCGCCCUCAUAUUGCAUUACCUCGAGUAUCAACCCAUU